rnacentral:rRNA from 1 species
GUCCCGCAACGAGCGCAACCCUCAUCCUUAGUUGCCAUCACGUUUGGGUGGGCACUCUAGGGAAACUGCCGGUGCUAAGCCGGAGGAAGGCGGGGAUGACGUCAAGUCCUCAUGGCCCUUACGCGUAGGGCUACACACGUGCUACAAUGGCAGUGACAAUGGGAUAAUCCCCAAAAGCUGUCUCAGUUCGGAUUGUCGGCUGCAACUCGCCGGCAUGAAGUUGGAAUCGCUAGUAAUCGCGGAUCAGCACGCCGCGGUGAAUACGUUCCCGGGCCUUGUACACACCGCCCGUCACACCAUGGGAG